AACGAACGCUGGCGGCAGGCCUAACACAUGCAAGUCGAGCGAAGCCUUCGGGCUUAUCGGCGGACGGGUGAGUAACGCGUGGGAACGUGCCCUUUGGUACGGAAUAGCCCCGGGAAACUGGGAGUAAUACCGUAUGUGGUCGAGAGACGAAAGAUUUAUCGCCAAAGGUUCGGCCCGCGUUGGAUUAGGUAGUGGGUGGGGUAAUGGCCUAACAAGCCGACGAUCCAUAACUGGUUUGAAAGGAUGAUCAGCCAAACGGGGACUGAGAAACGGCCCAGAACCCUACGGGAGGCAGCAGCGUGGAAUCUUGGACGAUGGGGGAAACCCUGAUCUAGCCAUGCCGCGUGAUCGAUGAAGGCCUUAGGGUUGUAAAGAUCUUUCAGUGGGGAAGUUAAUGACUGUACCCACAGAAGAAGCCCCGGCUAAGUCCGUGCCAGCAGCCGCCGUAACAC
rnacentral:rRNA from 1 species